CUGACAAACUGACAGUUGUAAGCAAAUAGAGGUUAUACUUUGAGUGACAGGGGUUAAAAAGCUGUUUUGACUGCUUCUACACAAUGAGAAUGACUUCUUUCUGUAAACUCAAACUGUUCUAUUAUAUCUGUUAAUCUAGUAAUUUAAUAUAAUUUUGAAGUUUAAUAUUUAAAAUACAAUUAUUUUAAUAGAACCAAUCUGGUCUAAAUUGUUGGCAGUAAAAUGUCAUCAACAUUUAAAUGGAAACUUUUGUAUCAUAUCAUUCUAAAUGUGUGUUUUUUUUAAAAAAAAUCUCAUUAUAAUCUCAUUAUCAUAAAACGUAACAGGUUGUCACAUCAAAACAUACUGGGAAAAGAUGCUAUAUCAUAUCUAUGUCCAUAAUAAAUGGGCAUGAGAGUUAUUUUUGAAGUAAUGAUCUAAAAAUGUAGUGUAGACAAGCAGUUUUUGGGUUACUCAAAGCUUGACUAUUUUUGGGGUUUGGGGUGAGGAGCACACACACAUUCACACACUUCUCUGGCAGCUGACUAUGACCUCUUCUGCCCCACAGACUAACAGAUUCAACCACACACACACACACCCUGGCACAUACGUUCAAGUGUUUUUUGCUCCAGUUGCCUUCUUUAAUGACUUCAACAUGGGCCUGCCAAUAUUUUUUAUUUUAGCAAUGGUUCUAAAUCUUGCUCACAGAGGGGACAUGCAAGAUUUGGAGACCAGAGACUUGGUUCUUGACCAAACAGUGACAGGGAUUUUGGGGGAGGAGGUCUACCUGCGUUGUCUGUACACUGGACAAAGUAACAUCUUGUACUCCUCCUGGAACCGUUUCGAUUCUACAAAGAAGGCAAAGAAAUGGCAGGCUACAAAUCCAGCACCUAUUUUUUUCAACAGAGAAAACUUUAACAUCCCGGCAUCAAUUACAAACCUCACUGUAAAGAUGAAUGUGACGAGUUUUGAUCAAGAGGGAGAAUACACAUGUGGCUUCGACUCUGAAGAGGACGAAACGAAGGACAGCAUGUUUCUCAGUGUUAUUGCUCGGCCUGAUGUUGACAUAACUGUGAAAGAGGAAGUUGUGAAUAGGACCAUCUACCAUGCUGUCACUUGCUCUGCCUCCGGUGCCAAGCCUAAAGCUGUGAUUAGAUGGGAGAUCUCUGGUGCCCUUCCAAGAGAUGACAUCUUCUCUGUGAACUUGAUUAAUCCAGUUCAUCCCAAUGGCACAACCAGUUCAAUCAGUGUACUUCGCUUCCCCCUAAUUAUGAAUAAUGAGAGCACUGUUACCUGUGUGGUUGAGCAUCCUGCUUUUACUGAACCCAAAAGAGCCAACAUAGAGGUGGACACAUUUGUUUCUCCUGUUAUAAGCAUGGAGACCGUCCUGGUCCAAGAAGGAGGAGAAGACUAUCAAGAGGUCAUAUGUACAGCAACAGGAGGGAGGCCACAUCCAAAUAUCACAUGGAUACUGCCUGAAUUCAGAAACAUGCCACCUUUACAGAGAAAUGUCUCCAAACCAGAUUCAGUUAUCAGUUCAUAUUGGUUCCCUUCAGAUCCUUAUGAAGGAGAAAAUAUCAUUUGUGUCUUUAACUACACUUUUCUCCCAUUCAUAAACUCAAGGACAAUCACUUUGCCAAUUUACUAUCUUUCCUCACUUCAGCUGAAGGACCUUGAUUAUGCCAUUAACAGUGAGAAUCAGACUUCACUGGCGCUUGUGGAGGGGGACACGGACAUUACAAUCGGGAUGAAUGUUUUAGGCAAUGUACCAAGUUAUAAAAUGAAAUGUUCCAGGGAAGGCCAACCACUGCCUGAAGAUGUGGAUGUGGUUGGCAGUGAUCUGUUUAUCAGAGGACCCAUACAGCUGCACCUUGUCGGACAAUAUCUCUGUCAGGUCUCGUACCGUAGACAUCAGGUUUCUUUGCAGUUCACAAUCAAAGUAAAUCUAAAAGUCCUACUGCCAGUGACAUUCCCCCCAAAUAUCAGUGUGAAUUUAGUAGAAAAGUCAGACUAUGUUCACAUUGAGUGUUUGGCCUCCAAUGCUAUUCCCGCUGCAAAUGUGUCCUGGAUUCUUCCACAAGAGAUUAAUAGUACUAUUCAGUCUGAAUACACACACUUUAAUGGAUCUUGCUCUGUUAGAAGUGUGUUGACUGUGCCUAGCUGCAUGACCCGCAAAUCUGUAGUUGAGUGCGUAGUCGACCAUCCUGACUUCAUGGAAAAAGAAAGGAGGCUGAUUGCUCUUCCUGUGUGUGCACCACCGAAUAUAACCCUGCAGUCUGGUGUUGAAUGGGACAAUGGCAUUACAUAUGCAUGGCUGGUGUGUUCAGUGCAGAGCCAGACCCCAGCAACGGCCAUCACCUGGGCUGUCGAGUGCCAUGGCAUUGAUAUGAGCUCUAGUGAAUUUGUAAUGACUCAACCUGUGUUUCAGAAGAGUCAUAUGGUUGUUGCUCAGAGCACGGCACGUAUUCCUAUUCACUCACAUGCCGGAUGCACCGUGACCUGUGUGGUUGAGCAUCGGGGGUUAGAGAAACCAGAGAACAAGAGCAUCGUCCUCCCAUCCCUAGGGCCGUCUGCAAGCCGCGCAUUUCUGGGUGAAGAGAGAUACACUCAGAUUUGGCAUGCUGUGUGUGAGUACAGCGGCGAAGGGGUAAAACCCAACAUCUCCUGGGUCCUUCUUGAUGAAGACACUGUAACUCAGGCGACUACUGAGGUCAAAUAUAAAGGAAUUAAAGUAAAAGUCAAUUCAACUCAUGAAUUUCAACUCAGUCAGUAUGAGGGGAAAGAUUUGAUAUGUCUGAUCCAGAACAAGCUUGGCAGGGAUGAGAGACGGACAAUACGAGUUCCAAAAUACUCUAUUUCAUCUAUUGAGGUUUUAAAUGAAACCACACUUGAUCGUAGAAGUCAUGGCCAAAAUGAGCAUCGUUUAGCACUGCAAGAAAACCUCUCGAAUCAGAAGAUACUUCUCAGAGCCCAUGGCAAUGCUCCAUCAUACAAGACAAUAUGUUACAGGUAUGUUGAGUAG
rnacentral:lncRNA from 1 species